rnacentral:sRNA from 1 species
AGCGUGGCCAGUGGGGAUUCCCUAGCUGCCGGCCAUGUGUCUGCAAUGGGCAUGCAGAUGAGUGCAACACCCACACAGGCGCUUGCCUGGGCUGCCGUGAUCACACAGGGGGUGAGCACUGUGAAAGGUGCAUUGCUGGUUUCCACGGGGACCCACGGCUGCCAUAUGGGGGCCAGUGCCGGCCCUGUCCCUGUCCUGAAGGCCCUGGGAGCCAAAGGCACUUUGCUACUUCUUGCCACCGGGAUGAAUAUUCCCAGCAGAUUGUGUGCCACUGCCGGGCAGGCUAUACGGGUGAGUGGAUGGGGGCAGGCGUGGGAUCAGGGUGAGUUGGCUGGGCUGAGCACUCACAGCUUCCUCUUAACCGUGGGCAGGGCUGCGAUGUGAAGCUUGUGCCCCUGGGCACUUUGGGGACCCAUCAAGGCCAGGUGGCCGGUGCCAACUGUGUGAGUGCAGUGGGAACAUUGACCCAAUGGAUCCUGAUGCCUGUGACCCCCACACGGGGCAAUGCCUGCGCUGUUUACACCACACAGAGGGUCCACACUGUGCCCACUGCAAGCCUGGCUUCCAUGGACAGGCUGCCCGACAGAGCUGUCACCGUGAGUAUGAGUGUGGGAGG